rnacentral:ncRNA from 1 species
UGACUAUUGCAAUUAAGCGUUCAAAGCGACGUCGUUUUUAGAUCCUUUUGAUGUCGGCUCUUCCUAUCAUUGUGAAGCAAAAUUCAGCAAGCGCUGGAUUGUUCACCCACUAAUAGGGAACGUGAGCUGGGAUUAAACCGUCGUGAGACAGGUU